GCUGUGAUGGCCGACUGGUUAAAGUGUUGGACUAGAAAUCCAAUGGGGUUUCCCUGCACAGGUUCAAAUCCUGCUCACAGCG
rnacentral:tRNA from 1 species